rnacentral:rRNA from 1 species
UGAGCGGGAAAAGCUCAAAUUUAAAAUCUGGCGUCCUCCGGGCGUCCGAGUUGUAAUCUGGAGAAGCGUUUUCCGCGUCGGACCGUGUACAAGUCUUCUGGAACGGAGCGUCAUAGAGGGUGAGAAUCCCGUCUCUGACACGGACUACCGAUGCUUUUGUGAUGCGCUCUCGAAGAGUCGAGUUGUUUGGGAAUGCAGCUCAAAAUGGGUGGUAAAUUCCAUCUAAAGCUAAAUAUUGGCCAGAGACCGAUAGCGAACAAGUACCGUGAGGGAAAGAUGAAAAGCACUUUGGAAAGAGAGUUAAACAGUACGUGAAAUUGUUGAAAGGGAAACGCUUGAAGUCAGUCGCGUUGGCCGAGACUCAGCCUGGCUUGCCUGGUGUACUUCUCGGUUGACGGGUCAGCAUCAGUUUUGACCGCCGGAUAAAGGUUGGAGGAAUGUGGCAUCCCUCGGGAUGUGUUAUAGCCUCUGAUUCGCAUACGGCGAUUGGGACUGAGGAACUCAGCACGCCUUUAUGGUCGGGGUUCGCCCACGUAACGUGCUUAGGAUGCUGGUA